AACGAACGCUGGCGGCAUGCCUAACACAUGCAAGUCGAACGAGACCUUCGGGUCUAGUGGCGCACGGGUGCGUAACGCGUGGGAACCUGCCCUUAGGUUCGGAAUAACUCCCCGAAAGGGGUGCUAAUACCGGAUAAUGUCUUCGGACCAAAGAUUUAUCGCCUUUGGAUGGGCCCGCGUUGGAUUAGCUAGUUGGUAGGGUAAAAGCCUACCAAGGCGACGAUCCAUAGCUGGUCUGAGAGGAUGAUCAGCCACACUGGGACUGAGACACGGCCCAGACCCCUCGGGGGGGAAGCAGGGGGGAAUAUGGGAAAAGGGGGGAAAGCCUGAUCCAGAAAUGCCGGGGGGGUGAUGAAGGCUUUAGGGUUGAAAAGCUCUUUUACCCGGGAUGAUAAUGACAGGACCGGGAGAAUAAGCCCCGGCAAACUCCGG
rnacentral:rRNA from 1 species